rnacentral:lncRNA from 1 species
GAGUGAAUAGGCAAUUUAGUCCCUGAGAUUGUAACCACUUUGCAUAUUAGUCCCUGACUUAAAUUUUAAUUCAUAAUAGUCCCUAACUUUACAUAAGUUUUGCAAAAUAGUCCCUGUCGUUAAUUUCUCAGGUGACGGCGUUAGUGAGGUGUAUAGGUGGCAAUUCAGUGCCACGUAGAUUGUCCAACGUGGCACUGAGGUCUGCAUCUAUAAAUUCUCUCUCACAUGCAAGGUUGCUUCUUCUUCCCCAAAAAAAUUAGGGUUUACGAAGCUGCUGGAUGCUUCUUCUUCUUCUUCUUCUUCCCACGCUGAGUUGCUUCUUCUUCUUCUACUGUGAGGCUCAGUCCCUGCUGCUUGUUCACUUGAUUUGUCCAUGUCUGCAAGUGGCAGUUGUUGUGCAUUUUCUGGUAGUUUCAUUCGGCAAUGCCACCAUGGAAGACGUGCAGCUAUUCGAACUGCAAGAACAAGGAGAAACCCAGGAAGGUUAUUCUAUACUUGUGCAUUACCCCAAACAGACCCAGAUAACUGUCAAUUUUUUCAAUGGGUUGAAGAAGAAAACCAACUUUCUAAUUCGUCUUCUGUCUCAAGAGAAACAAUGGUAGUGGCUGAUUUGAGGCUACAAAUUGAAGCUUUGCAGAAGAAAAUGAGAAAUUUAACAAACAUUGUGUUGUUAGGUUUUUCAUUUUUAAUUGUAAUGUUAGUUUUAGGGGGAAUGUACUUUAGGUAAAAUGUGUAAUAGCAGCUUUUGAUAUUGUAAUUGUUGUUUUGCUGAAGAAUUUGUAGUAGGAAGUAGCUUUUGUAGUGUAAUAGCAGCUUUUGUUGCUACUGUCAAUUGUUGUUUUGCUGAAGAAUUUGUAAUAGGAAGUAGCUUUUGUAGUGUAAUAGCAGCUUUUGUUGCUACUGUCAAUUAUCCAUUUCAAUUAAAUAUAAUUUGUUGGUGAAAUUUGUUGCUGAAAUUUGCAGUUUAUUAAAUAUAAUUUAAUAAAAGAAAGAGAAUUAGGUAAUAAGAAGCAACUCAUAAUGUAUGUUGGGAUGGAUUGUACUACUCCAACUCCAAAUCC